rnacentral:rRNA from 1 species
AUGGGAAAGCUUCAGAAAGUCUCUCACCAGGAUGUUCCGUUAAUGUCAUCUUUUGAGAGUGCAGAUUCUAUUCGUGAACCAUUCGUGCCUAAUGACUUUGCGGAAGAUGGAUCAUAUCCAAUGUCUACGAAAGGAAAAUCACUGAAGAGGAAGUUAUCAUCUGUUCGUAGAAGAAAUGUGGAAUCUCUCAAUGUCUUCUUCAUCGAGGUAUUCAUUGUCAUCUUGUUCAUGGUCUGCAUGCUAGGGGUUUUCUUCUGUUGCACCUUCUUCGGUUGGUGCAGUUUCAGUUUCCAUUUCGUCGAAUGUCUGCAGAAUAGUACUGAAGCUGAGGGGUGGAGAGGGGUUUCCCUUUUCCGUGCGUAG